GAUGAACGCUAGCUACAGGCUUAACACAUGCAAGUCGAGGGGUAACGAGAGGAAAGCUUGCUUUCCUUGUCGACGACCGGCGCACGGGUGAGUAACGCGUAUCCAACCUGCCCCCAACUAGGGAAUAACCUUGCGAAACUACGACUAAUACACUAUAAUUUCAUCAGAUGACAUCUGACGAGGCAUACAGAUUUACCGGUCGUGGAUGGGGAUGCGUCUGAUUAGCUUGUUGGCGGGGUAACGGCCCACCAAGGCCACGAUAAGUAGGGGUUAUGAGAGGAAGGUCCCCCAGAUUGGAACUGAGAAACGGUCCAAACUCCUACGGGAGGCAGCAGUGAGGAAUAUUGGUCAAUGGGCGGAAGCCUGAACCAGCCGAGUAGCGUGCAGGAUGACGGCACUAUGGGAUGUAAACUGCUUUUAUACAGGUAUAAAGUUAGCCACGUGUGGUUAUUUGUAGGUACUGUAUGAAUAAGGACCGGCUAAUUCCGUGCCAGCAGCCGCAGUAA
rnacentral:rRNA from 1 species